rnacentral:tRNA from 1 species
GGGGGCAUAGCUUAAUGAUAAAGCAGAAGGUGAGAAGUCCCGAGUUCAAUUCCUGGUACCACCA